AGCGAACGCUGGCGGCAUGCCUAACACAUGCAAGUCGAACGAGACCUCCGGGUCUUGUGGCGCACGGCUGCGUAACGCGUGGGAACCUGCCCUUAGGUUCGGAAUAACUCCCCGAAAGGGGUGCUAAUACCGGAUAAUGUCUUCGGACCAAAGAUUUAUCGCCUUUGGAUGGGCCCUCGUUGGAUUCGCUAGUUGGUAGGGUAAGAGCCUACCAAGGCGAGGUUCCAUAGCUGGUAUGAGAGGAUGAUCAGCCACACUGGGCCUAGGACACGGCCCAGACUCCUACGGAAGGGAGGAGAGGGGAAUAGAGGAAAAUGGGCGAAAGGCUGAUACAGCAAUGCCGGGUGAGUGAUGAAGGCCGUAGGGUUGUAAAGCUCUUUUACACGGGAUGAUAAUGACAGUACCGGGAGAAUAAGCACCGGCUAACUACGUG
rnacentral:rRNA from 1 species